rnacentral:rRNA from 1 species
AGAGUUUGAUCCUGGCUCAGAACGAACGCUGGCGGCGUGGAUAAGACAUGCAAGUCGAACGGAACAGGUAGCAAUAUCUGUUUAGUGGCGGACGGGUGCGUAACACGUGAGUCAUCUGCCCGGAAGAGGGGGAUAGCCCAGGGAAACUUGGUUUAAUACCCCGUGUGCUCGUAAGAGUAAAGGUGCUGCAAGGUGCCGCUUCCGGAUGAGCUCGCGGCCUAUCAGCUAGUUGGCGGGGUAAAAGCCCACCAAGGCGACGACGGGUAGCUGGUCUGAGAGGAUGACCAGCCACACUGGAACUGAGACACGGUCCAGACACCUACGGGUGGCAGCAGUCGAGAAUCAUUCACAAUGGGCGAAAGCCUGAUGGUGUGACGCCGCGUGGAGGAUGAAGGUCUUCGGAUUGUAAACUCCUGUCAUGUGGGGGUAAGGCUUGGCGUUUAACUGGCGUCAAGAUUGAUAGUACCACAAGAGGAAGGGGCGGCUAACUCUGUGCCAGCAGCCGCGGUAAUACAGAGGCCCCAAGCGUUGUUCGGAAUCACUGGGCGUAAAGGGUGCGUAGGCGGCGGUGUAAGUCAGAUGUGAAAUCCCGGGGCUCAACCUCGGAACUGCAUCCGAUACUGCAUUGCUUGAGUACUGGAGGGGAGUCUGGAAUUCACGGUGGAGCAGUGAAAUGCGUGGAUAUCGUGAGGAACACUAGUGGCGAA